GGGGUCAUGCUCAGGAAGAUGAUGGACUCUGGGCAGCUAGACUUCUAUGAACACAGCACUCUGUGCACCAACACGUGUCGUAGCACCAAGUUUGACCUGCUGAUCAACAACACACGCUUCCCCCCUGAUGGCAGCGGACUCACCACACCCAUCUCCUCACAAGCCCAGGUGGUGAUAGGUAAUGGUGGCCAGGUUGUCAUGACCGGAACAGUGGAGUGGAGUUCAGGGGCCAUAGC